GCUGGGAUAGCUCAGUUUGGAAAAGCAUGAGACUCUUAAUCUCAGAGACAUGAGUUGGAGUCCCACGUUGGGCA